UGCUGCUAGGUUUGUGUGCAGAGUCAUGUACGCAGUACCUUAGACACAGACUUCAGUGUGUACGGUACGUUGAGAGUAUUUUACUUUACCAAAGGUUUCAUUUGUACAACUAAAAAUGAUUGAAUACACCGUAGUAAUGGUUCGGCAUGGUGAAAGCGAAUGGAACAAGGCAAACUUCUUUACCGGGUGGUACGAUGCACAAUUAAGUGAUAAAGGGAAAGAAGAAGCGAAAUCUGCUGGAAAAGCUCUAAAGGACGGAGGGUAUACCUUUGAUUUAGCGUAUACAUCGGUACUAUCACGGGCACAGGACACUUUAGAUUCUGUUCUGUGCGCCUUGGACGCGAAAGACCUACCUGUUAAGAAGACAUGGCGUUUAAAUGAGCGUCAUUACGGUGGUUUAACUGGGCUGAAUAAAAGUGAAACUGCCAAGAAAUACGGUGCAGAGCAAGUACAUUUAUGGCGUCGAAGUUUUGAUGUCCCACCCCCAGAAAUGUAGCCAGGACACAAGUAUUAUGACAACAUAAACAAAGAUGAGAGAUACAAAGAUGUAGACCCAGCAGACAUGCCAAAAUGUGAGAGUUUGGAACUUACUAUUAAAAGAACCUUACCUUACUGGAAUGAUGAAAUUGUGCCGAGCAUUAAAGCUGGGAAGAAGGUUAUUAUAGCAGCUCAUGGCAACAGUCUUCGUGGGAUUGUCAAGUAUUUAGAUGACAUGUCAAAUGAAAGGAUUAUGGCACUUAACAUACCUACAGGAAUCCCUUUCUAUUAUAAACUGGAUGAAAACAUGAAACCGAUAGUUUCAAUGCAGUUCCUGGGUGACAAGGAAACAGUUGAUAAAGCUAUGGCUGCUGUCGCUGCCCAAGGACAAGCAAAAUAAACUCAAAAUAUAACAAGUUGCAUGCAGUAGGCUAUAUACAAAUCAUGUCAUUUGCAAUCGUUUCUGUAUUUGCACGCUUCUGCACCAAAUAAGGUGUUCUGUAUAAUACAGUAUAAUAUAUAUUCAAGAUAUUGUUUCUUUGCAUCCAAUUUGAGUUCAAUCUGAAUAAAUAAAUCAUUGCUUUCGC